CUAAGUUUGAUGGCGACCGGCGCACGGGUGAGUAACACGUAUCCAACCUGCCGAUGACUCGGGGAUAGCCUUUCGAAAGAAAGAUUAAUACCCGAUGGCAUAGUUCUUCCGCAUGGUGGAACUAUUAAAGAAUUUCGGUCAUCGAUGGGGAUGCGUUCCAUUAGGUUGUUGGCGGGGUAACGGCCCACCAAGCCUUCGAUGGAUAGGGGUUCUGAGAGGAAGGUCCCCCACAUUGGAACUGAGACACGGUCCAAACUCCUACGGGAGGCCAGCAUG
rnacentral:rRNA from 1 species